rnacentral:rRNA from 1 species
AGUGAACGCUGGCGGUAGGCCUAACACAUGCAGGUCGAACGGCGGCACAGUAAGAGCUUGCUCUUACGGGUGGCGAGUGGCGGACGGGUGAGGAAUACAUCGGAAUCUACUUUUUCGUGGGGGAUAACGUAGGGAAACUUACGCUAAUACCGCAUACGACCUACGGGUGAAAGCAGGGGAUCUUCGGACCUUGCGCGAUUGAAUGAGCCGAUGUCGGAUUAGCUAGUUGGCGGGGUAAAGGCCCACCAAGGCGACGAUCCGUAGCUGGUCUGAGAGGAUGACCAGCCACACUGGAACUGAGACACGGUCCAGACUCCUACGGGAGGCAGCAGUGGGGAAUAUUGGACAAUGGGCGCAAGCCUGAUCCAGCCAUACCGCGUGGGUGAAGAAGGCCUUCGGGUUGUAAAGCCCUUUUGUUGGGAAAGAAAAGCAGCAGGUUAAUACCCCGCUGUUCUGACGGUACCCAAAGAAUAAGCACCGGCUAACUUCGUG